rnacentral:tmRNA from 1 species
GGGGGUGAAACAGUUUCGACUGUUAUGCUUCGAUUUGAUACGCACGUCGAGAGACAUCUCGUUAAAUAUGCGCUUGUUUUUGUACAAGUUUAAAUAAAUCAAAACAAUAACGAACUUGCUUACGCUGCUUAAUGCGUAGCCGUCAGUUUAGCAGUACCGAUAUGCUAAAAUCUGAUGUCAGUUAUCGGUUAAAGAUUGAUUUUGUUGCCUAGCAAAUUCAAUUUACUUUUAGGCUGGAAAUUUGCAAGUGUUGGUGUGAGUUGCAAAUUUUAAGAUAUACUCAUCAACUAAACGUGUAGUGUAUGAUUUCCAAGUAUGGCAGGACAUGGGUGCAAAUCCCAUCAUCUCCACCA